UAUCUAUCUUGUGCUUUGCUUCAGGCAUCACAAUGUCUUUGGGAAAAGUUCAGCAGCCCCCACCUACCCAACAAUACUCCCCCUUGGCUCUACCUUUUGUAUUAUUAGUUUGCCUCUUAGAGUUUUCCAUAGACUGAGAAAAAAUGUACCCCUCACACACAGUAUUAAGAGUUGCGGUGAGAGCUGGCUGUAAGGAGGACCCAGGAUCCAAAGAUCCAUGCAACAAAUUCCACACACCCAAGAGCAUUUGGAUUUGUAUGAUUCUUACAUGGCAGCCCUGCUUGCCAGAUGGUAAACCACUUUGGAAAAUAGAGGAGAGUUUCUACAACAAGUUAUGAGGUGUUACAGGAAGUAGGGCCUGCUGUUCAGAGAAGAAAGUCAAAAACAACACAGGACCCAUGCAAGACCCCGACUAGAGCUGCUUUUUGGAUCCCAUCUCAUGUUAUUAAGGCUACAAUCUGAAAAUGAGAUUAAUUCAUACAUUCUUCCUCCCUCCUUGUAUUUCAGCUAUUGCUGAGUUCACAUAUUUUCAUCAUUUCUGUGCUUUGAUUUAAAUUAAAAUUUCCAGUGUAUUUUA